rnacentral:rRNA from 1 species
AUUGAACGCUGGCGGCAUGCUUUACACAUGCAAGUCGAACGGUAACAGGCCGCAAGGUGCUGACGAGUGGCGAACGGGUGAGUAAUGCAUCGGAACGUGCCCAGUCGUGGGGGAUAACGCAGCGAAAGCUGCGCUAAUACCGCAUACGAUCUAUGGAUGAAAGCGGGGGACCGUAAGGCCUCGCGCGAUUGGAGCGGCCGAUGUCAGAUUAGGUAGGUGGUGGGGUAAAGGCUCACCAAGCCAACGAUCUGUAGCUGGUCUGAGAGGACGACCAGCCACACUGGGACUGAGACACGGCCCAGACUCCUACGGGAGGCAGCAGUGGGGAAUUUUGGACAAUGGGCGCAAGCCUGAUCCAGCAAUGCCGCGUGCAGGAAGAAGGCCUCCGGGUUGUAAACUGCUUUUGUACGGAACGAAACGGUCCUGGUUAAUACCUGGGGCUAAUGACGGUACCGUAAGAAUAAGCACCGGCUAACUACGUGCCAGCCGCCGCCGUAACAC